CAUCUCCACUCGGGGGUCCUCUCCGAGUUGACUUCCCUCCUCCCAGACACUGUCUCCACCAAACUUGGUCCCACAUGGAGGACAGAGGCCACCGAAGGGUCCCGUUUACUGAGGAAGUUCGCACUCCUGUGGGGCCGUGUAGCAACCCCAGAUGCUUUCAACACGGAUCGAACAGUGAGGGCAGUAACAUUUACAGUGUGCAGAAGUACUGCAACUUCAUCUCUUCAACAAUCAGAGUGGUGUCUUUCUCAUGCACCCCGGGGUCAGCAUUUGGCAGCUUCAGAGCCCAGCCCUUCAGCACCACCGAUCUUACCACUUUUCGCCAGACAGACCGGAGGAAUUUCUUCAGCCAUAUCCUGCUCAUAACCAACUCAGUUUUCUUUUCUUUUUCUUUCUUUUUUUUGGGGGGGG
rnacentral:lncRNA from 1 species